rnacentral:lncRNA from 13 species
GGGGUACCUGCACACAGAGCAGGGGUACCUGCAGACAGAGCCGGGGUACCUGCAGACAGAGCUGGGGUGCCUGCACACAGAGCCGGGGUACCUGCAGACAGAGCCGGGGUACCUGCAGACAGAGCUGGGGUACCUGCACACAGGGCCGGGGUACCUGCAGACAGAGCCGGGGUGCCUGCACACAGAGCCAGGGUACCUGCAGACAGAGCCAGGGUACCUGCAGACAGAGCCGGGGUGCCUGCACACAGAGCCGGGGUACCUGCAGACAGAGCCGGGGUGCCUGCAGACAGAGCCGGGGUGCCUGCACACAGAGCCAGGGUACCUGCAGACAGAGCCGGGGUGCCUGCACACAGAGCCAGGGUACCUGCAGACAGAGCCGGGGUGCACACAGACAGAGCCGGCGUGCACACAGAGCCAGGGUACCUGCAGACAGAGCCGGGGUGCACACAGACAGAGCCGGCGUGCACACAGAGCCGGGGUACCUGCGGACAGAGCCGGGGUGCACACAGACAGAGCCGGCGUGCACACAGAGCCGGGGUACCUGCAGACAGAGCCAAGGUACCUGCAGACAGAGCCGGGGUGCUGCACACAGACAGAGCCAGCGUGCACACAGAACCAGGGUACCUGCAGACAGAGCCGGGGUGCACACAGACAGAGCCGGCGUGCACACAGAGCUGGGGUACCUGCGGACAGAGCCGGGGUGCACACAGGCAGAGCCGGGGUGCCUGCGGACAGAGGAGCCGGGGUGCCUUUGCAGACAGAGCUGGGGUGCCUGCAGAGCUAGGUGUGUGCAGACAGAGCCAGGGUGCAUACAGACAGAGCUGGGGUACCUGCAGACAGAGCCGGGGUGCCUGCGGACAGAGCCGGGGUGCCUUUGUAGACAGAGCCGGGGUGCGCACAGACAGAGCCGGAGUGCGCACAGGCAGAGCCGGGGUGCCUGCAGACAGAGCUGGGGUGCGCGCAGGCAGAGCCGGGGUGCCUGCAGACAGAGUUGGGGUGUGCACAGGCAGAGCCGGGGUGCCUGCAGACAGCCAGGGUGCACGCAGACUAAGCCGGGGUGCAUGCAGACAGAGCCGGGGUGCCUUUGCAGACAGAGCCGGGGUGCACCCAGACAGAGCCAGGUGUGUGCAUACAGAGGUAGGCCACGGCUUGGGGCCUCCAUCAUGUGACAAAGUCCUGGGAAGCCCCCUCCAUGCCUGGAGACCCAAUGGAGUCCAGCUUGGCCGAGUCAGCUCCUGGGGCUGGUGGACUUCCCAAUGGGGGUCCCAGACUCGCUGCCCCAGGGUCCUCACUCCAUCCCCUGCAGAAGAGGCC